GGAGAGGGGAGAGCUGGGCGCGCACGGGGCCGCACCUCAGCGAUAAACCGUGUGUGCGUUGCCGAGGGAGGUGUGUGAAGCGCUAUGGGAAGCACAAGCAGGACAGAAAUUCCAGGAGGGGAGGCGGUGUGAACGCAGUUUUGAAGACAUUGAUCCCUUCCUAGGAUGGAAGAGGAAGGAAAGUAGGCACGUGCUUUGGGUACCAAUAUGUGAAGUUGCACGACUGUUAAUGAUAUCAGAGUACAAAGAACAAGACUAGAAGUUUGAAGCAAGUCCCAGUCUGUGAGAUUCUUCUUAACGUCUGCUGCUACAAUGAACACAGGGCUACUGAAGGACUGACUGCCUGAUAUCUCUUGUAGUGGGAAAGGUGCUUUAGACAGGAAAUGACUGAGAUAUAAUCUUCUCUGGAAAAAUAAAUGUCUAGUUCUUGAGUGUAAAAUGGAAACUCCAUUACAUAAGCUCUCCCUUAUGGACACAAAAUUAAAGUUUAAUUGAGAAUUUCCUGUGCUCGUAACAAAAAGAUGCAACAAAACAAACAAAAAAACACCACCAAAAAAAAAAAAAACCAACCAGUCUGAACAAAAUCCAGAGCCCUUGUGGCUAUAACAACUGGGGAAAAAAAAAAUCACCCUGUUAAAAUUCAUGCCUUUAAGUGAAUAGAAAACAUCAUGAAAACCUAAAAUAUUUAGGAUUCAAAGAAAAAUAAAUUAUUAAACAGAAAUGUUUCUCUUCUAUGCCAAAGUCAAUUUCUGACAAUAAACUGAAUAUUCUGUGAUAAAUCAUGUUGAAUUUCAUACACAUUUCUCCUGGAAUUCAGUGGUGCUUCUGACCCAAAAAGGGAAAGGUAAACAUCUUUACUGGCAUCUUAGGUAAGUAUACAGCGCUACAGUCUAAGAAAAGAUGAAGGAGAGGGGUAUUUUCCUCUACUUGUUUACUUUGUACCACAGAGAAUGUUUAUAGAUUUUCUGUUUUAUUGUUGCUGCCAGUUACUAAUUUCCCUUUCUUAUGACUUAGUUAAUUGGAGAACAGUUGGGUUUUCUUGUUUGUUUUUAAUCUGUUUUGUUCUUAAAGGAAGGAAUAGUGCUUUUAAAACCAUAACAAAUAGCAGUAAGAAGUAGAAGAGUAAGUAUGUACAACUUUAAUUUUAUGAAAUUAAUCUGAUUUGACAGUAUUUUUUUAAGUUGUGAUGUACCAAGAUGGUCGAAUCAGUUCUGCAUUGCUACUUAUUGAUGACUGUUGUGCUAAUCUGUCACAUACAACUCAGAAAAGAUUUUGGUUUUUACUCCAUAAAGUUAAUACCGGUAUUUCUAGAGGUCUCAGUAAUGCGUAAGUAUAUCCUAUAAAAUGAGUAAUAAGUGCUGUGUUCAAAGUGAUGUUCUUUUGGUUUGUGUUUUUUUGUUUUUGUUUUGUUUUGUUUCUGACAUAGUCUUCACACUAUGCUACUCGCAGUGAAGUUCUGGAUAAUGUACGAUAUCAUGAUUUGUCUGUGUUAACAUGUAUCCUUCCAUUUACUGAAACUUCUAGCAAAGAAAAACGACACUGGACAAAGUUUAAGUAUCUUUAAAUUUACUUAGCUGGGAAGAUGAAAUUGACCCAAAUACUCUUGCCGCUUAAAUCAAGGUAUGUUGAAGUAAGUAAAGCAACUGCAGUGAUUCCUAUUGUAUUCAAUCUAGACUAUCAUUUGUGUCCCAAUCAGUGUUAUGGGAAAAUGUGUAUGCACAUAUAUACAUACACUUCUUUGGAGCUUCUUUUUAGUAAUUAUUUCUAUUUGCUUCACCUCAGUCCCAAACAAAUAAUGGAUAUGUUGUUUAUCACUUGUUAUACAGUCUGUUUUCUUUUGUUACAUGUCUCCAUUUAUUCCCCUGCCGUAUGAAUGCUAAAUGAGAUUAUGACAAGCCUCAACUAGGUUGUAAGCUUAUAUAAUUAAUAUCUGCUAUCCUUUCUAGAAGAAUUAAAGUGCACAAUGUAUUGCUCCUUCCCUCUUUGCCUUAUGCAUUUAGGUUUUAAUUCUAUCAUCUAAGGAAACCUUUUACUUCUCAGGUAAAAAUGAGGAUCAAAACAAGACCUUUUGUUUCCAUUAGAAGCACUUAAUGGUCUUCUUGUUUUCAGAAGGUCUAAUUGUUUUCAGAAUAGCUUCAUUAACUUCUGAAAGUGUUACCAAGACAGACAUCCCCAGAGCCAGGAUGCUAAUUAGAAGGAAAACUGGCCUUAGAGUACUUGAAGAAUUGUCUUCUUUAAAAGAGCAAGAAGGCUCAUUCAAUCAUUGACAGAAUGUUUCUGCCAAGAAGUAGGAAUAACUGCCAGUUAUACAAACUCAGAGAAUACCUGUGACAAAUGACUUAUUCCCACAGUCAAAUGACUUCUUCAGACAACCAACAACAGGAAGCUCUCUGACGACUAAGUGAAUAGUGCUAAGAUGUCUAUCACUUUCAGUGCAGUCCAAGUCAUGUCGUUUAUGGCCAACUUCAUCUGUCAGCUCCAAUAUUCCUAAUUCAGUAGGUUACGCAUGUUUGGAGGGUGCUUUGAUUGCUUUCUUAGAUGCCGAAAUAGCAGUAGUAGCACAUUUGGUCUUCAUCACAUUCACACUGACUUUAUGUUGAAACUCUUGUAUGUCCAACCAGAAAAAAAAAAAAAAAAAAAAAAAAAACCAACAAACUUAUGCAGAACUAAGGAAUAAGCGCAGAUAUAAGAUAUAAACAAAAAUAAAAUAAAUGAGUGAUAACAACUUACAUUCUAACAUCUAUAGAAAAAAUACCUGAAUUAAAAAUAAGUGGUGUGGGGAAAGAAAUUACUACAAAUUUACGUAAAAAUCACUACCAAAUGAGUCAAAUAGGAAUACUUUUAAACAAAAAUAAGCAACCACUAUUAUCAGUCAGAUCCUAGAAGUUCUAUAUUAAUGUGCAUCUCAGAUGUGUGCUGUUAAUAAACUAAAACAUUCUUUGGCUAGGACUGAGGCAAGACAGUGAGCUACACUGAGCUCUCUGUGGCCAAAACUGUCAAUUCUAAAGGAAGUUUCUGUGUUCUUGCUGUCAUUUGAGAAGUUAUGAACUAUGAUCUGGGCUUGCUACACUGCCAAUAGAAUAGGGAAAGUCACCUCAUCUCAAUAAUAAAACUGUCAGUAACAAAAGGAUAGUUCUUAGUUACUCCAGUAGUUACAGGGAAGCUGAUACUAAGGUCAAACAACAGGGCAAGACCAAUACUAGUGCCAAUGAACAUGUCAACAUUAAGCACCAUUUUUUUCAGAGAAGUACUUUAACACUUCAAUAUUCUGUGUUUCAGAUGGUAUCUGGACACAGUAGAGGUUUGUUUAUUGAUUCUUAGAUGAAACGAAAGCUGUUAGACAUUCUGGAGGCCAACCUGACAAGACUGGACCCAGAAAAAGGACAGUCCUUCAAAGUCUGAAGGUGACAUUGAAGGAACUCGGCAGCAGAUUCAAAAAAUCCCAACCGAUUCAAUAGGCAUUAUACGCGCUCUGUGUGUACUUGCUCCUGAGCUUGGCAACCACACAAGUGCUGGCAUUGCUACUUACUCUAAGAUUGCAGUCUGUAUCAGAUUGUGUGCUGAGGAAAAGAAUAAGCUUUUACCAUCAUGGAUGGCAUCAGUAUUCACAACUCCUGCAGUACCUAAAAAAUGAAGACCAGAUAAUGCAAAGUUUCCAAUGAAAUCAACAUGCAUUUAAGUCAGUUAAAUGACUUCAAUCUACAGAGAGGAAAAAUAAUUACAAAUAUCACUUCUCUAACACACAAGAUCACAGCACUGUAAUUGGAAAUGUUACUGGCAUGGUGCCCUUUCCCUGUGCUGACGGUAUUUCCAAGCGUGCUGCCUUAUUGUUUCUGUGCUAGAUUGAUAUUAAAGCAACUACAAUGAAAGGGAAUGACUCGAAAAUUUUCCAGUACUAGGCUUGAUGCCCAUGGCAUUUUGAAACUUUCUGCCCACCUUCUUCCACUCAGCAUAACCAAAGGCAAAAUAGAUGCAACCAAGACAAGUGUUCAUUAGUAGGAGGUUCUGUAUUUUCCUACCUUCUCCCAGAUCAAGGUGAAAAACGUGGGCUUUAUGACGUAUGCAGUGUUAGCUCUACUGUAGCAAUCAGUAAGUUCUACUAUAGGAGAAUGACACAUUUUUAUCAGCUAGCUCACUGAAAGGAAGGACUGGUUGCAAGUGAUAUUUGUACAGGGCAAUCUCUUGAGAGGUAGAUGGCUGAGAGGCAAGGUUGUCAGCAGCUGGACCCUCAAAGGUAGUUUUAUAUUAAGAAAACAUCGGAGAAUCCUGCUAGGGAACAAUGCCACCAGUGUGUGGGCAUAAAUAGAUGGAUUUUACUUACGUAAGCCCUUAAAAAUCCCUGUGUGAUUAAUAGAAGCUUAAUAAAGGGGACAGCUGCAUUUGUAAGGAAUCUGUACCCAUUAGGUGAACUCAUACUUCUUGUUCUUCCUAAGCUAAGAUAGCUCUUUCUCUCUUGAAUUGUUACCAGGCUUUUUUGUGUACUGAUCCCAGAGAGCAAGUGAUCUUUUAAAAAUCAUUUUUUACCCAGAACUACAGGAACAAAACAAUUUUUCUGAACUAGUUACUCGUCUGUAGUUGAGCCUAGUUGGGAAUGGUUACUGGAACUAACAGUGGACAGUUUAUUUCUUCCAUGGAGAACAAAAGAGCCUUUUGGAAACACUAAUUUUCAGUUUCCUUUGCUGCACCAAGCCUAGUAAGAGUAUAUUUUCGAUGCUAAAAUGUUAACGUUUUGGUCUGAUGAACAUCCCUUGGACAGUAGGAUUACACAACAAGAUCAGUAGCCCCACAAUCCCGUACUUUCCAGUUAGUUUUGAGAUAAACAUAUAGGUAUGUUCUGCCUUUUCUUUUGAUAACCUUUCCUUCCUUUUUGUAAAUAGAGGUUUUAUCAGAAGAGAAUAUUUUCUGCCCUGGUACAUCUGUAUCAACUUCAUCCCCCUCAGCAAGCUGCCAACUCUGCAACUAUACACAGGCUUCCAUUAGGUGCAUACCAUUUUAUCCAGGACAGAAAGAUGGACUUAUUUUAUAAAACAGGAUGAAGUGGAGAGAGUAGAUUCAGUAGGACAACUAGUUAAUAUAAAUUACUAAGAAAUACAAUGCUAAAAAUAUCCUGUCUCCAUCAGUUUAAAUUCACACCUACUCCUAUCUGAGCAGGAGAGAGAAAACAGAAAUCUCCUUCAGCUUUCAAAACUUCAUCCAUCUCCUGAGAAUCAAAUCUUCAGCUGGCAGAUGUCAGCAGGCAGCACCAGAACCGUACUAUAUUCCUGAAGGAUCCACUCUUCAACACCAGACUGCCACGACUGGAACGUCAGAGUUACAGAUAACUCUCAGCAUUCCUUGAGGACAGUUUAAUUCCCUGGGGGCCUUGUAUGUUGCUGUCAGCCUGACUGGGUAGUAAAGCAGACCAUGACUUCAGCAGGUGAGUAGAGGGUGCACAUAAUGCUUUAGUCUCUUCCUGUUCCUAUGCCUGUUACCAGCUUUGCCUUUUAUAUUCUCACAAACCAAUUGCUUUCCUGAAAUGGACAUUAGGUCCUGAUGAACCACAUCAGCAAUACACUGGCUGUUUAAAUCCUGAGGAAAGGAGAGCAUUAAGCAAACCAAACACAAAAGAUGGUACUGAGUGGACUUGGAGUGGACAGUGAACAAAGGGAAAGGAACCUAAGACAGAUGCAUUGUGUAGUUUAUACUGUUUAGGUAAAACUAACAAUAGUACAACAGGCUGGAAUGUAAAUGGUGGAAAUGUGGGUACAAAUUUCUUUUAGGCUGUUUAAGUUAAGGCUGUUACUGUGAAAAAUGAUAUAGCUUCUAAUUAGAAUGCAUGUAGAAAACUCUGCAUCAUAAAAAUGGAAAAUAGAAUCUGAACAUGCUGCGUAUCAUGAAUCCGACUGAACAGGACUCGGGGAGGAAAUUACAAGUGUGUUUUAGCAGUCACUGCAGAUUAUCUCAUGGGUUCUUUAUAUAUACAUGUUUUUGUGGUGUCAAGCUGCAGGAGCUUAGGAGUUUUGUAGAGCUUGUUGCAAGUGCUGUAGCUCAGUAGAUGUCUGAGACUCUUUUCAACAAGACUGAAGAUCCCAUUCCCGGCCAUGGUGAGUUACUGUAGACCAUACUAUAUGACCAUACCAUAGACCAGCACCAUAUGGGUGCUGAGACCACAACUCUGAAAAAGUUGUGCAGACAUGCUCAACGCUGCACGCUGCGAGUUGGCCCAGAAAAAAACAAGAAGGCUUUUAUAGGAAUCUGAAGACUUUUGCAAAAGACUAGCCCCAGAUGUGGACAAAGUAGGAUGCAGUCUAGAACAGCGAAGUGACUGUGGUCCAACAGACUACUUUGUCCGUGCCUGAUCUGUAGAUUGGCUCCUACUACUGCUGUUGUCACCAUGGUACAGACAGGAUGUCUGGUGUGAUGUAUGUUCACUGCUGGAAUUGAGGGUCCUCUCCAGCAGUGCUGUAUCUGGCAAUAUGCUAUCUGCCUUCAGAAGUCCUGGAGUUGACCACUACUUCACUGUAUGGUCUCCAGCCUGUCUCCUCAUUCCUUUCCCUUGGCAACAGCAUCCCCAUCCUGAGUCCCUCAGCUUUGAGGCAGAAACAUUGCAUUUAGCAUGUGUUGAGAUUGUUGAGCUGGCUAUGCUUUGUAGGAGUGAGUCUUGUUUAUACCAGAAAUUCACACUGAUUAUAUGCAACUGUCAUGUUCAGUUCCUUGGUAAGUUUUGUCAAACAAACAAACAAAGAUACCUUGUAAAGAGAAUUGGAAUGGGGUAAGGCAACCAAAUCCAGGACAAUGCAGUAGCAAAAUAUGGGUGGAAAUCAGAUGUGCAUGCACCAUUUAUCAUAAUUAGAGAUUAUUUGAUAGUAUCACUACACUUGUACACUUUCAUGCCUUUAAAAAAAAAAUCUAAGAAAAAUUGUGCUAAGUUCUUUUACCAACAAAUAGUACCUAAAGGUAUUACUCUUAGAUAGUUAUGAACAAGAGAGAAGUGAUGUCGUACAGUGCUAUUCAUAUACCACACAACUAAACUCACCAGCUUUCUAAGAGGAACAAUCAAAACAACAUUCUCUCCCCUACCCAGAGCAGACAGAUCCAUAAAUUCUAUAAACCUCACAUUUCCACAAAAUACCGGUCUCAUUGUGUUCGAAAUCGUUAGACUUGGUGAAUGAGUGAUGCAGAACCUCCUUACAGAAUUGCAGUAUUACACUAAAAAUGCAGUUGAGGUACAUCUCAUCAGGCUCUGAAUCUCUCCACUGAUUUUUGGCAGGAAUCUGCUCCAUUGCCUUAUACUUACUAGAUCCUUUGUUCGAAAGGAGAACUAAACAGUCGAAAUUGAUUAUCACAUAAUUGUUUCAAAGGAAACCAAAAGAUGCAGUAGUUAAGAAGAAGUAAUUAGAUAGAGUCUACUACUUUUUGAAAACAUUGCUCUGGGGAAUAAGUUCUGAAGUAGUAAUUCAUGUGAAAUACAUAGCUAGUGUUCUGUUCAGAGGGGGAGAAAAGAAAAGCAACCUGAGUUCUGCACUUCUAAUAGCUAUAAGAGUCUCUUCUAAAUUUGUGAUCUUUUCAUAUGUUUCUGGAUUCCCCUGUUCUGUUAAAGCAGAAAUUCACAGAUGCAAGUGGAAAUAUCUUGACAGUAGGAGGGAGUAAAAGGUAACCAGCAUGAAGAACAGCUGUGAAACACAGAACAAUAACUGCUGCCUCAGCAGCAGUCGUUCCAAAGAGAACAGAGAGAACUCUGUAGAUUAAAAAAGAAAGAAAGAAAAAAGAAGGAAAAAAAAAGAAAGAAAAACACCACCACUACCAAGUCAAUAGGCAUUACAAAAUUAAUAGCAGAGGAAUGAAUUAGACUUACAGAGAAUGAAUGAGGCUUACAGAUGGAGUAAAUUCCCCAUCUGUAAGUGGUGAAUUCCCAGGUAAAGAAGGUUUGCACAGGAAAUGUUAAUAGUACAUGAGGGGCAAAAAGUGGGGGAGAGGAGUGUGGCAAGGAGAAAAGAUUGCAGCAUGGUGAAGAAAAAGUCUGAGGUGGAAAAUGGAGCAAGAGACCCAUGCAAAAACAAAACAUAACAUACGCACACCUCCUCCUCCCCCCCAAAACAAACAAACAAACAAAAACACAAAGGAUAGAGGAAAAAGACACUUUGCUGUUUGGCUGAAGGAAGUCAUUAAACUGAAAUCUGGGAGAAGAUCGUAGAGGUGAAGGAGGGAAGACUGAAACUAUCUUCUGAAUGACAGCCCAUAGACUAUCUAGUGUUCUGAAUGAGUCAACAAAUCUCUUUCCAUUUGUGGAACCCUCAAAAUACCUCUAGUUACGUUUGUAACCUCUCCUGUGGAAAUGCAUUUCACUUUCUGUACCACUCAAGAGCCUCACAACUAGAAACGAUGAUUAUUGAGACCAACUGUCCCAUCAGUAACGAACUUGAAUAGAAUGACCAGUGAAUGUGACAACAGGCAGUGGAACGUUAAUGAGUUAAAUAAUGAUAAUCCUAUAGAUGAUAAGUGGGAAUGACAAAACAACCAUGUUGGCUCUUGCUCACUCUAAGCUUGUGCAUCAAAGAAGUAUAGUCAGUGAGUUUCAUAGCAAAGCAAAAGCUGAGAUAAAAGGGCUGAGGCUGUCUGUGAUCUGAUCUUUACCAUAAAAAGGGGAGGAUGUUUUAUGAACCAUCACUCUGAGUACAAAUAAAUGUAGAAUUUAAGAAAGAACUGAUGUAUUUGAUUUAUAAAUAAAGUGUAGAGAACAAUCCCUGAUGUGUAAGAAUUCUUUACAGCCUGCAAGGACUCCUGUCCACUUUUACAACCCAAUACAGAUCAUGUUGCAAAGUAAAUUAUUACAUGUUACCUUCUGUAGCAGAUGCAUUAACAUCCAAACAGAUUGUAAAGAGAUUAUAAAAUGGUUAGUACACUUGUUGCAUAGCAGAGCUCUUCA
ensembl:lncRNA